rnacentral:rRNA from 1 species
UAGGGAAUUUUCCGCAAUGGGCGAAAGCCUGACGGAGCAACGCCGCGUGAGUGAGGACGGCCUUCGGGUUGUAAAACUCUGUUCUUGAGGAAGAAUUCCUUCCAGGCGAACAGCCUGGAAGGUUGACGGUACUCAAGGAGAAAGCCCCGGCUAACUACGUGCCAGCAGCCGCGGUAAUACGUAGGGGGCGAGCGUUAUCCGGAAUUAUUGGGCGUAAAGCGCGCGCAGGCGGCUGAUUAAGUCAGGUGUGAAAGGCUGCGGCUCAACCGCAGAGCGGCACCUGAAACUGGUCAGCUUGAGUGCAGGAGAGGGGAGCGGAAUUCCCGGUGUAGCGGUGGAAUGCGUAGAGAUCGGGAGGAACACCAGUGGCGAAGGCGGCUCUCUGGCCUGUAACUGACGCUGAGGCGCGAAAGCGUGGGGAGCAAACA